AACGAACGCUGGCGGCAUGCCUAACACAUGCAAGUCGAACGAGACCUUCGGGUCUAGUGGCGCACGGGUGCGUAACGCGUGGGAACCUGCCCUUAGGUUCGGAAUAACUCCCCGAAAGGGGUGCUAAUACCGGAUAAUGUCUUCGGACCAAAGAUUUAUCGCCUUUGGAUGGGCCCGCGUUGGAUUAGCUAGUUGGUAGGGUAAAAGCCUACCAAGGCGACGAUCCAUAGCUGGUCUGAGAGGAUGAUCAGCCACACUGGGACUGAGACACGGCCCAGACUCUUACGGGAGGAAGCAGUGGGGAAUAUUGGACAAUGGGCGAAAGCCUGAUCCAGCAAGGCCGCGUGAGUGAUGAAGGCCUUAGGGUUGUAAAGCUCUUUUACCCGGGAUGAUAAUGACAGUACCGGGAGAAUAAGCUCCGGCUAACUCCGUG
rnacentral:rRNA from 1 species